GCUGACGGAUCCACUUCCACGCGCUGUCUUUAGCUGCUCACCAUGUGGCCCUCUCCAUAGGGCUGCUCACCUCAUGGCCUCCCCCAGAACGAGGCAUCCGAGAGAUGGAAGCCAUGGUCUUUUAUAGACUAAUCCUGGCAGGGACCUAUCACCACUAGUGUCAUAUUCUAUUGGUCACACAGACCAGCACUGGCACAGUGUUGGAGGGGACACAGAACUCUGUGCAUCUCAGGAAGUGGGACCAUCGAGGGCCAUGGUGAAGGCGGCACCAUGACAACACUGUGGGGGACAUUAUUCAUCCCAGGUUAUAGAUGAGAGCACUAAAGAUCCCAGAAGUUAACUGAUUUGCACAAGGCCACAACUGGAAGCAUCCAAGGUGGGAUUUGGGUCAAAGUCUGUCUGGACUCCAAAGUCUACAUUCACUUCUCCUAAUCCACGACCUCUCCAAGCUGCAGAUAUGUCAAGGGAGCACCAAGCGGUGCAGUUGACUAGAACGCUGAACUCUGAAUGCCAGGCUGGGGAAACGUGAAUUCCAUUCUGGCUUGAAGGGACACACAGAAGCUCCUGAGCAGGAAAAGCCAUGAUGGGAUUUUCACUUCAGGAACUGGCAUUUCAAAAACAUGCAAGAGGCCAGGCGCAGUGGCUCACGCCUGUCAUCUCAGCACUUUGGGAGGCCAAUGUGGAUGGAUGGCUUGAGCCCAGGAGCUGAAGACCAGCCUGGGCAACAUCAUGAGACCUCGUCUCUAUAAAAAAAUGUUUAAAAAUUAUCUGGGCAUGGUGGUAGGCACCUGUACUUCCCAGCUACUUGGGAGGCUGAGGUGGGAGGAUCACUUGAGUCUGGGAGGUUGAGGCUGCAGCAAGCUGUGAUCGCGCCACUGCACUCCAGCCUGGGUGACACAGCGAGACCCCAUCUCCAGCCGGGAGCCAUGCCUCCUCUCCUUUGGCCUUGUUUGUCUCCCAGAAAACGAGAGAAGGAUCUUGUCGGUCUUCUGAACUGUUGAACCCUCACACCCAUGUUUGCCAGAUGUGACGGCAAUUGUGAGAUACCAAUGAAGGAAGAGAUGCAGAGGUUCUGGGCACGUGGGCAUCGCUGGGUAUCAUCUCACACAAGCCCACAACAGCCCCAUAAGAUGAGUAUCUCCAUUUUACAGAGGAGGAAACUGAGGCUUGGGGAGGUUGACUGGAAAGCCCAGAUCACACUGAGAUCAGGUGUUGGCGUCAGGAUGCAAAUUCCUUGUGUGUGGGUCUCAGCGCUGGAGGCCCCAAGUCUUCAUGAAAUGCACAAAGCUGGUGUGGGAAGAAGCUGGGAUUUGAAAUCCACAGCCGUGGAUGUCACCCCGGAUGUGCGGUGUGGCCCUGGGCUGGCUAUUUAACCUCUC
rnacentral:lncRNA from 10 species